rnacentral:rRNA from 1 species
UAGCGGCGAAUGGGUGAGUAACACGUGCUUAAUCUACCCUUCAGAUUGGAAUACCCAAUGGAAACAUUGGCUAAUGCCGGAUACGCAUGGAAUCGCAUGAUUCCGUUGUGAAAGGGGCCUCAAAGCCCCACUGAAGGAUGAGGGUGCGGAACAUUAGUUAGUUGGUAGGGUAAUGGCCUACCAAGACUAUGAUGUUUAGCCGGGUCGAGAGACUGAACGGCCACAUUGGGACUGAGAUACGGCCCAAACUCCUACGGGAGGCAGCAGUAGGGAAUAUUCCACAAUGAGCGAAAGCUUGAUGGAGCGACACAGCGUGCACGAUGAAGGUCUUCGGAUUGUAAAGUGCUGUUAUAAGGGAAGAACACUCAGAGGAGGAAAUGCCUUUGAGCUGACGGUACCUUGUCAGAAAGCGAUGGCUAACUAUGUGCCAGCAGCCGCGGUAAUACAUAGGUCGCAAGCGUUAUCCGGAAUUAUUGGGCGUAAAGCGUUCGUAGGCUGUUUAUUAAGUCUGGAGUCAAAUCCCGGGGCUCAACCCCGGCUCGCUUUGGAUACUGAUAAACUAGAGUUGGAUAGAGGUAAGCGGAAUUCCAUGUGAAGCGGUGAAAUGCGUAGAUAUAUGGAAGAACACCAAAGGCGAAGGCAGCUUACUGGGUCUAUACUGACGCUGAGGGACGAAAGCGUGGGGAGCAAACAGGAUUAGAUACCCUGGUAGUCCACGCCGUAAACGAUGAUCAUUAGUCGGUGGAGAGUUCACUGACGCAGCUAACGCAUUAAAUGAUCCGCCUGAGUAGUAUGCUCGCAAGAGUGAAACUUAAAGGAAUUGACGGGGACCCGCACAAGCGGUGGAGCAUGUGGUUUAAUUUGAAGAUACACGGAGAACCUUACCCACUCUUGACAUCUUCCGCAAAGCUG